UAUCUCUGUAGAGUCUGCAUAUCAAUAAGCGGAGGAAAAGAAACUAACAAGGAUUCCCUUAGUAACGGCGAGUGAAGCGGGAAGAGCUCAAAUUUGAAAUCUUCAAGGUUCUACCUUGACGAAUUGUAGUUUAAAGAAGUGUUUUCUGUUAGAUGAGUAGCAAAAGUUCCUUGGAAUGGGACAUCAUAGAGGGUGAGAAUCCCGUAUUUGGUUAUUCAUUCUAGCUUUGUGCUACACUUUCAAAGAGUCGGAUUGUUUGGGAAUGCAGUCCAAAAUGGGUGGUAAAUUUCAUCUAAAGCUAAAUAUUGGCGAGAGACCGAUAGCGAACAAGUACCGUGAGGGAAAGAUGAAAAGAACUUUGAAAAGAGAGUUAAACAGUACGUGAAAUUGUCAAAAGGGAAGCGUUUGACACCAGUGUUGUUUUUCCGAAAAUCAAUUACGAAUGGCUUGAUUUUGUGUUGUAUUGACCUUAUCAGCUUUCUUCACUUUUUUCGAGUCUUUCUUAAUGCACUUUUCGGUUAACAAGUCAACAUCAAUUUCUUUUGUUGUAAAAGAGUAUUCGGAAGGUGGCUUUCUUUUCGGAGAAAGUGUUUAUAGCCCUAUACUUCUACAAUCGGAGAGAUUGAGGUCUGCAGCGUAGAUCCUUCGGGGUUAGAUACACUUGUGCUAAGUUGUAGCUUUUCAUAGACAACUUGUUGACUAUGUUUAGUCAUGCGGCUUACUCGCUUGUGCUAUUUUACCUACGCUUAGGAUGUUGACUGAUAUGUAGUCGUA
rnacentral:rRNA from 1 species